GCUGGCGGCAUGCCUAUCAUGCAAGUCGAACGCUUUGAUUUCACCGGGUGCUUGCACCCACCGAAGUCAAAGAGUGGCGGACGGGUGAGUAACACGUGGGUAACCUGCCCAUAAGAGGGGGAUAACAUUCGGAAACGGAUGCUAAUACCGCAUACUUCUAAUCGCCUCCUGGCGAAUGGAAAAAAGGUGGCUUCGGCUACCGCUUAUGAUGGACCCGCGGCGUAUUAGCUAGUUGGUGAGGUAAUGGCUCACCAAGGCGAUGAUACGUAGCCGACCUAAGAGGGUGAUCGGCCACACUGGGACUGAGACACGGCCCAGACUCCUACGGGAGGCAGCAGUAGGGAAUCUUCCGCAAUGGACGAAAGUCUGACGGAGCAAUGCCGCGUGAGUGAAGAAGGUUUUCGGAUCGUAAAACUCUGUUGUUAGAGAAGAACAAGGAUGAGAGUAACUGCUCAUCCCCUGACGGUAUCUAACCAGAAAGCCACGGCUAACUACGUGCCAGCAGCCGCGGUAAU
rnacentral:rRNA from 1 species